rnacentral:rRNA from 1 species
GUGGGGAAUAUUGCGCAAUGGGCGAAAGCCUGACGCAGCGACGCCGCGUGAGGGAUGAAGGCCUUCGGGUUGUAAACCUCUUUCAGCAGGGAAGAAGCGCAAGUGACGGUACCUGCAGAAGAAGCACCGGCUAACUACGUGCCAGCAGCCGCGGUAAUACGUAGGGUGCAAGCGUUGUCCGGAAUUAUUGGGCGUAAAGAGCUCGUAGGCGGUUUGUCGCGUCUGCUGUGAAAACGCGGGGCUCAACUCCGCGCCUGCAGUGGGUACGGGCAGACUAGAGUGCAGUAGGGGAGACUGGAAUUCCUGGUGUAGCGGUGGAAUGCGCAGAUAUCAGGAGGAACACCGGUGGCGAAGGCGGGUCUCUGGGCUGUAACUGACGCUGAGGAGCGAAAGCGUGGGUAGCGAACAGGAUUAGAAACCCUAGUAGUCC